GUUGACAGCAUCUAUGGAGACUCCGAAGUUUCCAUCAACUCACCGCAGCGAAGCUUUUUUAUCCGUUCAUCUCACCGGCGUGAUUAUAUUUGAGGCAUUACAAAAUCAGAAUCAGUCUGAACUCAACCGACGUCAUUACCUCAAGCAUUAACCAAAGCUCUCCCCUCCUACCACGAUUUCUACUUGAAUGAAUCUUUCCUUUAUGUGGAUCUCCGAUUAUAAAAGGUACCAUGAUAAUGCAUAUGUAAGCUCUGGGGUUUACAGAUUGUGAGUUAUUUAGACUCAUAUGCUACCUUCAGUUUGCUGGAAGGGUUUUUUGAGCAUCAGUACCCAUGUCAAGAUUUGAAGUUGUGGAGAAAUUUUUCAAGCUUGGAACAGCCACGUCGGGAAACUCAUACCAACAUUUUCGGAUCCGGCUUCAACGGCACAAAACCUGACCGUGCAACGAGAGUUUCCUUCGAGUAUAGCGUUUCGAGAGUGGUUUGGAGGAUGGAUAAAUGUUCUCGAUUCUUCUGGUUUAAAUUACGUAAGGAAUAGCUGCAAGAUGGUCUCAUUUCCUUCCUCAGAUAAGUGCUUUUGCUGUCUUCACAUCCAUAUCAGAUAAAAUAGUGAUUUUGCCGUAGGGACUAUCUGUAUACUAAAUAUAAUUAUUCUAAACCCAUCUUUGUACACAGUUGGUCUCUGUCUAUUACAUGCAGCAUUUCGGUUUUGUCAUAAAAAUAGUUCGGUUUGGGCUGUGUCACAAAAGCUUAGAUGCGUUUCACGUUUGAUGGUUCAAUACUUCCAACUAUAUUUUGUAGUUGUUUUUUUUUUCACAGCAAACCGUUGGGUUUGGUUACAUCCUCAUGGGAUAGACAUUUUUCAAUAUUUUAAUAGAAGCUUCAUAAAAUAUAAUAAAUUACCAUUUUGAUUACACACAA